rnacentral:tRNA from 1 species
CCGACCUUAGCUCAGUUGGUAGAGCGGAGGACUGUAGUUGAAGCAGAUUAUCCUUAGGUCUCUGGUUCGAAUCCGGUAGGUCGGA